ensembl:lncRNA
GUGUAGUGUCCAGGUGUAUAUAUAUCUAGUCCCACCUCUUUGCCGUUGUCCAGUAGCAUGAUGUCAUCGUCAGCCAGGUCGUCCUGACAGAAGUCAGAACAUUUCUCAGACACGGCGAAGUAUCCCUUCUCAUUGGAGCAGCGGAACAGUCUGGCGUACUUCAUAUAGUCAGCGUCCUCGUCGUAUACCUUCUGACAGCCAAUCCCCACCCAGAAGAAGUUCUCCGGCUCCUCCCCCUCGUUGAUCACCUAGGAGACAGGAGCUCCGGGUCAAAGCAGGUUCUUACCAUAGAAUUAUAAUGAUGUUAACCAGACAAACUGCCUCGGUCAGAGGUUCCAUCCAUGUUAACCAGUCAAACUGCCUCGGUCAGAGGUUCCAUCCAUAUUAACCAGACAAACUGCCUCGGUCAGAGGUUCCAUCCAUGUUAACCAGACAAACUGCCUCGGUCAGAGGUUCCAUCCAUGUUAACCAGUCAAACUGCCUCGGUCAGAGGUUCCAUCCAUAUUAACCAGUCAAACUGCCUCGGUCAGAGGUUCCAUCCAUAUUAACCAGACAAACUGCCUCGGUCAGAGGUUCCAUCCAUAUUAACCAGUCAAACUGCCUCGGUCAGAGGUUCCAUCCAUGUUAACCAGUCAAACUGCCUCGGUCAGAGGUUCCAUCCAUGUUAACCAGACAAACUGCCUCGGUCAGAGGUUCCAUCCAUGUUAACCAGUCAAACUGCCACGGUCAGAGGUUCCAUGUUAACCAGUCAAACUGCCUCGGUCAGAGGUUCCAUCCAUGUUAACCAGUCAAACUGCCACGGUCAGAGGUUCCAUGUUAACCAGUCAAACUGCCUCGGUCAGAGGUUCCAUCCAUGUUAACCAGUCAAACUGCCACGGUCAGAGGUUCCAUGUUAACCAGUCAAACUGCCACGGUCAGAGGUUCCAUGUUAACCAGUCAAACUGCCACGGUCAGAAGUUCCAUGUUAACCAGUCAAACUGCCACGGUCAGAGGUUCCAUCCAUGUUAACCAGUCAAACUGCCUCGGUCAGAGGUUCCAUGUUAACCAGUCAAACUGCCUCAGUCAGAGGUUCC